GAUGAACGCUGGCGGCGCGCCUACACAUGCAGUCGAACGGUUAAAGCAUCUUCGGAUGUGUAUAAAGUGGCGAACGGCUGAGUAACACGUGGGCAACCUGCCCUUUGCACUGGGAUAGCCUCGGGAAACCGAGGUUAAUACCGGAUACUCCAUAUUUGUCGCAUGGCGAAUAUGGGAAAGCUCCGGCGGCAAAGGAUGGGCCCGCGGCCUGUUAGCUAGUUGGUGGGGUAGUGGCCUACCAAGGCAAUGAUGGGUAGCCGGGUUGAGAGACCGACCGGCCAGAUUGGGACUGAGACACGGCCGCCAGACUCCUACGGGAGGCAGCAGUGGGGAAUCUUGCACAAUGGGCGAAAGCUGAUGCAGCGACGCCGCGUGCGGGAUGAAGCCUUCGGUGUAACCGCUUCAGCAGGACGAGGCCGCAAGGUGACGGUACCUGCAGAAGAAGCCCCGGCUUACUACGUGCCAGCAGCCGCGGUAAUACGUAGGGGCAAGCGUUAUCCGGAUUCAUUGGGCGUAAAGCGCGCGUAGGCGGUCUGUUAGGUCAGGAGUUAAAUCUGGGGCUCAACCCCUAUCCGCUCCUGAUACCGGCAGGCUGAGUCUGGUAGGGGAAGAUGAAUUCCAAGUGUAGCGGUGAAAUGCGCAGAUAUUUGGAAGAACACCGGUGGCGAAGGCGGUCUUCUGGCCAUGACUGGCGCUGAGGCGCGAAAGCUAGGGAGCGAACAGGAUUAGAUACCCUGUAGUCCUAGCUGUAAACGAUGACACUAGGUGUGGGAGAAUAUCUUUCCGUCCGCAGCUACGCAUAAGUGUCCGCCUGGGAGUACGGUCGCAAGACUA
rnacentral:rRNA from 2 species